AUGGGGGGAAAACCCAGAAAUCGGGGGGAAAAUCCCAGAAAUCGGGGGGAAAAUCCCAGAAAUUGGGGGGAAAAACGGGGAAUUUGGGAAAAAUCCAAAAAUGGGGGGAAAAAACGGGAAUUCGGGCAAAAAUCCAAAAAAUGGGGGGAAAAACCGGGAAUUUGGGAAAAAAUCCAAAAAUGGGGGGAAAAACCCAAAAAUCGGGGGGAAAAACGGGGAAUUUGGGGAAAAAUCCAAAAAUGGGAAUCCAAAAAUGGGGGGAAAACCCCAAAAAUCGGGGGGAAAACCCCAAAAAUGGGGGGAAAAACCGGGAAUUUGGGAAAAAAACCCCGGGCUGCAGGUGCCCCCGAAUCCCGGAAAUUGGGGGAAAAAAUGGGGAAUUUGGGAAAAAUCCAAAAAUGGGGGAAAAAACCGGGAAUUUGGGAAAAAAAUCCAAAAAUGGGGGGAAAAUCCCAAAAAUCGGGGGGAAAAUCCCAAAAAUCGGGGGGAAAAACGGGGAAUUUGGGCAAAAUCCCAGAAAUGGGGGGAAAAACCGGGAAUUCGGGCAAAAAUCCCGGGCUGCAGGUGCCCCUGAAUCCCGAAAAUGGGGGGAAAAAUGGGGAAUUUUGGGAAAAAUCAAAAAAUGGGGGGAAAAACCCAAAAAUCGGGGGGAAAAACUGGGAAUUUGGGGUAAAAUCCCAAAAAUCGGGGGGAAAAUCCCAAAAAUGGGGGGAAAAAUGGGGAAUUCGGGCAAAAAUCCCGGGCUGCAGGUGCCCCCGAAUCCUGAAUAUUGGGGGGAAAAAUGGGGAAUUUGGGAAAAAUCCCAAAAAUCGGGGGGAAAACCCCAAAAAUAGGGGGGAAAAUCCCAGAAAUCGGGGGGAAAAUCCCAAAAAUGGGGGGAAAAACGGGGAAUUCGGGCAAAAAUCCCGGGAUGCAGGUGCCCCCGAAUCCGGAAAUGGGGGGAAAAACCGGGAAUUUGGGGAAAAUCCAAAAAUGGGGCGAAAAACCGGGAAUUCGGGCAAAAAUCCCAAAAAUGGGGGGAAAAACCGGGAAUUUGGGAAAAAAUCCAAAAAUGGGGGGAAAAACCCAAAAAUCGGGGGGAAAACCCCAAAAAUCGGGGGGAAAAUUCCAAAAAUGGGGGGAAGAACGGGGAAUUCGGGCAAAAAUCCCGGGCUGCAGGUGCCCCCGAAUCCCGGAAAUUGGGGGGGAAAAUGGGGAAUUUGGGAAAAAUCCAAAAAUGGGGGGAAAACCCCAAAAAUCGGGGGGAAAAACCGGGAAUUCGGGCAAAAAUCCCGGGCUGCAGGUGCCCCCGAAUCCAGAAUAUUGGGGGAAAAAUCCCAAAAAUCAGGGGGAAAAACCGGGAAUUUGGGCAAAAAUCCCGGGCUGCAGGUGCCCCUGAAUCCGGAAAUGGGGGGAAAAACCGGGAAUUCGGGAAAAAAAUCCAAAAAUGGGGGGGAAAACGGGGAAUUUGGGAAAAAUUCCGGCUUCUACUCUAUUUUUUGGGGAUAUUUGGGAACAUUUUGGGAUAUUUUGGGAUAUUUUGGGAUGAUUUUGGGAUGGUUUUGGGAACGUUUUGGGGCCAUUUUUGGGAUAUUUUGGGAAUAUUUUUGGGAAUGUUUUGGGAACAUUUUGGGAAUGUUUUUUGGGAUAUUUUGGGAAUGUUUUGGGAACAUUUUGGGAAUAUUUGGGGAUGAUUUUGGGAUAUUUUGGGAUGGUUUUGGACCAUUUUGGGACCAUUUUGGGCCGUUUUUGGGCCAUUUUGGGACCAUUUUGGGGCCAUUUGGGGCCAUUUGGGGCCAUUUUGGGGCCAUUUUGGGACCAUUUUGGGACCAUUUUGAGCCAUUUUGGGCCAUUUUGGGACCAUAUUGGGCCAUUUUGGGUCAUUUUGGGACCAUUUUGGACCGUUUUGGGCCAUUUUGGGCCAUUUUGGGCCAUUUUGGGACCAUUUUGGGCCAUUUUGGGCCGUUUUUGGACCAUUUUGGGACCAUUUUGGGCCAUUUUGGGCCAUUUUGGGCCGUUUUCGGACCAUUUUGGGCCAUUUUGGGACCAUUUUGGGACCAUUUUGGGCCAUUUUGGGACCAUUUUGGGCCAUUUUGGGGCCAUUUUGGGCCAUUUUGGGACCAUUUUGGGCCAUUUUGGGCCGUUUUGGGCCAUUUUGGGCCGUUUUUGGACCAUUUUGGGUCGUUUCCAGGGCCACUGGCCGUUGCUGGCUCGGGAUCGCAGCGGGAGCCGAGUCCUGGACGCCGCCUGGGCCAGCGGCCGCCCCCGGCAGCGAGCNNNNNNNNNNNNNNNNNNNNUCCCAGAAAUCGGGGGGAAAAACGGGGAAUUUGGGAAAAAUCCAAAAAUGGGGGGAAAACCCCAAAAAUCGGGGGGAAAACCCCAAAAAUCGGGGGGAAAACCCCAAAAAUGGGGGGAAAAACUGGGAAUUUGGGGUAA
rnacentral:lncRNA from 1 species